UACGGAGGGGGCUAGCGUUGUUCGGAAUUACUGGGCGUAAAGCGCGCGUAGGCGGAUCUGCAAGUCGGGGGUGAAAUCCCGAGGCUCAACCUCGGAACUGCCUUCGAUACUGCGGAUCUCGAGUCCGGGAGAGGUGAGUGGAACUGCGAGUGUAGAGGUGAAAUUCGUAGAUAUUCGCAAGAACACCAGUGGCGAAGGCGGCUCACUGGCCCGGUACUGACGCUGAGGUGCGAAAGCGUGGGGAGCAAACAGG
rnacentral:rRNA from 1 species